rnacentral:rRNA from 1 species
AUUGAACGCUGGCGGCAUGCCUUACACAUGCAAGUCGAACGGCAGCACGGACUUCGGUCUGGUGGCGAGUGGCGAACGGGUGAGUAAUGCAUCGGAACGUGCCAUUGAGUGGGGGAUAACGUAGCGAAAGUUGCGCUAAUACCGCAUAUUCUGUGAGCAGGAAAGCAGGGGACCGCAAGGCCUUGCGCUCUUUGAGCGGCCGAUGUCAGAUUAGCUAGUUGGUGAGGUAAAGGCUUACCAAGGCGACGAUCUGUAGCGGGUCUGAGAGGAUGAUCCGCCACACUGGAACUGAGACACGGUCCAGACUCCUACGGGAGGCAGCAGUGGGGAAUUUGGACAAUGGGGCAACCCUGAUCCAGCCAUGCCGCGUGAGUGAAG